AAAGAUUUGGUCCUAAUCUUACUAUUAAUUAUGAUUAUAUUUACACAUGCAAGUAUCUGCACCCCGGUGAAAAUGCCCUAAAUUUACUAAUAAUAAACUAAGGAGCUGAUAUCAGAUACGCCCAUUACAUCUUGCUAAGCCACACCACAAGGGGAUCCAGCAGUGAUAAACAUUGAAAAAUAAGCGACAGCUUGAACCAGUAAUAAUCUAAAGAGUUGGUUAAUCUCGUGCCAGCCACCGCGGUUAUACGAGAAACCCAAAUUAAUUAACAACGGCUCAAAGAGCGGUUAAAUGAAAAUUUUUUAUACAAUAGUUUAAAAAAUUAACUAAGCCGUUAUACGCAAUAGUUAAAUCUAAAAUCAACAACGAAAGUAAUACUAAUAAAUUAAAAAUAUUGAAGCCGCGAAAGCUAUGACACAAACUGGGAUUAGAUACCCCACUAUGCCUAGCCAUAAACUUUGAUCUUUCCGCCAGAGUACUACGAGCAAUAGCUUAAAACUCAAAGGACUUGGCGGUGCUCUACACCCACCUAGAGGAGCCUGUUCUAUAAUUGAUAACCCCCAAUAAACCUCACCACCCAUUGCAAAACAGCCUAUAUACCGCCGCCGUCAGCUUACCCUUUAAGGGAAAACAAGUAAGCAAAAUGAUAAACAUAAAAACGUCAGGUCAAGGUGUAGCACAUGGGGUGGGAAGAAAUGGGCUACAUUUUCUUUUAGAAAAAACGAAAAACCAAAUGAAAAAAAGUUGGAAGGAGGAUUUAGCAGUAAAAAGAAAUAAGAGUGUUCUUUUUAAAUUUGGCUAUAGAGCGCGCACACACCGCCCGUCACCCUCUUCAACAUCUAUAUUUAAGUAAUUAACUAACCUAAUAAAACAAAGAAGAGGAAAGUCGUAACAUGGUAAGUUUACCGGAAGGUGAACUUGGAU
rnacentral:ncRNA from 1 species